rnacentral:rRNA from 1 species
UACGUAGGGGGCAAGCGUUGUCCGGAUUUAUUGGGCGUAAAGAGCGUGUAGGCGGCCAUGCAGGACCGUUGUGAAAACUCGAGGCUCAACCUCGAGACGCCGAUGGAAACCGCAUGGCCAGAGUCCGGAAGAGGAGAGUGGAAUUCCUGGUGUAGCGGUGAAAUGCGCAGAUAUCAGGAAGAACACCCGUGGCUAAGGCGGCUCUCUAGUACGGUACUGACGCUGAGACGCGAAAGCGUGGGGAGCAAACAGG